rnacentral:rRNA from 1 species
AGAGUUUGAUCCUGGCUCAGGAUGAACGCUAGCUACAGGCUUAACACAUGCAAGUCGAGGGGCAGCAUACGGGUAGCUUGCUAUCCGUGAUGGCGACCGGCGCACGGGUGAGUAACGCGUAUCCAACCUUCCCCUUAGCAGGGCAUAGCCCGUAGAAAUGCGGAUUAAUACCCUAUGCCCUUCACUGCGGACAUCUGACGUGAAGGAAAGGCUUGCCGCUGAGGGAUGGGGAUGCGUCUGAUUAGGUUGUCGGCGGGGUAACGGCCCACCGAGCCUUCGAUCAGUAGGGGUUCUGAGAGGAAGGUCCCCCACACUGGUACUGAGACACGGACCAGACUCCUACGGGAGGCAGCAGUGAGGAAUAUUGGUCAAUGGGCGUAAGCCUGAACCAGCCAAGUAGCGUGCAGGAUGACGGCCCUACGGGUUGUAAACUGCUUUUAUGCGGGGAUAAAGUGUGGGACGCGUCCCAUAUUGCAGGUACCGCAUGAAUAAGGACCGGCUAAUUCCGUGCCAGCAGCCGCGGUAAUACGGAAGGUCCGGGCGUUAUCCGGAUUUAUUGGGUUUAAAGGGAGCGCAGGCUGCCUGUUAAGCGUGACGUGAAAUGCAGGUGCUCAACGUCUGCACUGCGUCGCGAACUGGUAGGCUGGAGUACACUGUAAGUGGGCGGAAUUCGUGGUGUAGCGGUGAAAUGCUUAGAUAUCACGAAGAACUCCGAUUGCGAAGGCAGCUCACUGUCGUGUCACUGACGCUGAGGCUCGAAGGUGCGGGUAUCGAACAGGAUUAGAUACCCUGGUAGUCCGCAUGGUAAACGAUGGAUGCCCGCUGUUUGCCUUUAUUGGCAAGCGGCCAAGCGAAAGCGUUAAGCAUCCCACCUGGGGAGUACGCCGGCAACGGUGAAACUCAAAGGAAUUGACGGGGGCCCGCACAAGCGGAGGAACAUGUGGUUUAAUUCGAUGAUACGCGAGGAACCUUACCCGGGCUUGAACUGCAGAUGAAUGCGGUGGAGACACCAAAGUCCUUCGGGACAUCUGCGGAGGUGCUGCAUGGUUGUCGUCAGCUCGUGCCGUGAGGUGUCGGCUUAAGUGCCAUAACGAGCGCAACCCCUGCCGUCAGUUGCCAUCGGGUGAUGCCGGGCACUCUGUCGGGACUGCCACCGCAAGGUGCGAGGAAGGUGGGGAUGACGUCAAAUCAGCACGGCCCUUACGUCCGGGGCUACACACGUGUUACAAUGGGGGGCACAGCGAGUCGGCCGUAUGCAAAUGCGGUCAAAUCAUGAAAUCCCCCCUCAGUUCGGAUUGGGGUCUGCAACCCGACCCCAUGAAGCUGGAUUCGCUAGUAAUCGCGCAUCAGCCAUGGCGCGGUGAAUACGUUCCCGGGCCUUGUACACACCGCCCGUCAAGCCAUGAAAGCCGGGGGCGCCUGAAGUCCGUGACCGCGAGGGUCGGCCUAGGGUGAAACCGGUGAUUGGGGCUAAGUCGUAACAAGGUAACC